CCUACGGGAGGCAGCAGUGGGGGAUAUUGCACAAUGGGGGGAACCCUGAUGCAGCGACGCCGCGUGGGUGAAGGAGCGUUUCGGCGCGUAAAGCCCUAUCGGCAGGGAAGAAGGAGGACGGUACCUGACCAAGAAGACCCGGCUAACUACGUGCCAGCAGCCGCGGUAAUACGUAGGGGGCAAGCGUUAUCCGGAUUUACUGGGUGUAAAGGGGGCGCAGACGGCAGCGCAAGCCAGGAGUGAAAGCCCGGGGCCCAACCCCGGGACUGCUCUUGAAACUGCGCGGCUGGAGUGCAGGAGAGGCAGGCGGAAUGCCUGGUGUAGCGGUGAAAUGCGUAGAUAUCGGGAGGAACACCGGUGGCGAAGGCGGCCUGCUGGACUCCGACUGACGUUGAGGCCCGAAAGCGUGGGGAGCAAACAGGAUUAGAUACCCCAGUAGUC
rnacentral:rRNA from 1 species